rnacentral:misc_RNA from 1 species
CGGGAGAUAACGUAGCAGACGAUUUUCAACCUUGACCGCAACAUCCGCCAUGUUUGCUUCGUCGGUGAUUCUUUCGAAGAGAUUUUUCUCUGUUUCUGCAACAAGAAAUGGCCCGAAAGUAGCUGUGGUUUUAUCAGGUAAUGGUGUUUUUGAUGGAAGUGAAAUACACGAAUCAAGUGCUGUCUUAUCACAUUUAACACGAGGAAAAGCAGAACCUCUUAUUUAUGCUCCUGAUGUAAAUCAGUUUCACGUAGUUAAUCAUUGUGUUGGCGAACCAAAUACAGCUGAUACAAGGAAUGUUUUAGUUGAAUCAGCAAGAAUUGCUAGGGGAAAAAUCAAGGCUUUAAGUGAAUUGAAAGCUUCUGAUCAUGAUGCUAUAGUAUUUCCUGGUGGAUUUGGAGCAGCAAAAAAUUUAUCAACUUUUGCCGUUGAUGGUGCAAAUUGUAAAGUUAUUCCAGAAGUAGCUCGUGUUAUAAAAGAAUUUCAUGCAUCCAAGAAGCCACUUGCAUUUUGCUGCAUUGCUCCUACUCUAGCAGCCAGAGUUCUAGGAAAAGUAGAGAUCACAUUAGGGCAAGAUAAAGAUGACGGUUCUGGAAAAUGGCCCUAUUGCGGAGCUGUCGAAGCCGUGAAAUCAUGGGGUGCUAUACAUCAUAAUACCAAUGUUGAUGGUGUCAUUGUCGACAAGAAUAACUUGGUGGUCACCACUCCUGCCUUUAUGUAUGAUACGCCGAAUUUCCACGAGAUUUAUGAUGGAGUUGGCAAAAUGAUUCUAGCACUUCUUCAUUUGUUAGGAAGCAAAUAAAUGCAGAAAAAUUGGAAUAUUUUGACAAAAGACUUUACACGAGAUAUAGUAUAUGUAAUAUUUACAAAAAUUGAAUUUUUCAACAAAAAUUAGGCCAAAAAAUAAUUACAACAAUAAAAAUUAUCAUAAUAAGCCCUUGUUCCUAUUUUAAAAGUCUUUUGUUAUGGUAUAUGAUGAUUUAUGAUUGAAAAUUUCAUCUCUCUUUUAUGAAGGUUUGCAAACCUCAAUUAUGUUUUCUGUGGUGUUCAUUUGUAUGAAAUUACUUGAAACAGUUUUUGAUUAUUAAAAGUUAUUUUUGCUUAUUCAGUUUUAAUUAUAGAUGAAUUUUCAAUUAUUGGAUAACUGAUAUAUCAAUUAUUUUUGUAAUCAUUUCUUGGAAUUAAUAAGCAAACAAAUUAGUAUGUAUUUAAAUUCAAUUAUUGAUGAAUUAAUAGUAAUAUUUAUCAUAAUAUAAAUAUAUUGUGUAUGCUUUUAAGAAUAUUUUUUUUAAACAUUUUAAAAGACAUUUCUAAACAUUGAAGGACUAUGGAAAACUUCUUUAAAGAUUUAUUGUGUUUCUAUCAAUUAAAAAAUUAUAAAGUUUUCAUUCCUUUGAUACUUGCUAUUGAAAAAUAUAAUAAUCUACUUUAUUCUAUUUUUAUGUUAUAUAUAUAUAUAUAUAUUAUUAAGAACUACUGUGUUCUGUUAAUAGGAGAAAAAACAAACAGUUCUAGUUAUGCUCACUUCCUGUUUAGUAUCUUCUAUCAUUGCUGUUUUGCAAUGUUUGAUCUCUAAACAAUUAACCGUAGCCCAUUGGAAAGUUUUUAUUCUAACUUAGAAGUAAUUUUUUUACCUUUAUCCUAGUCUAUAGAGUUCUUUGUACUGUUGAAGAACCUAUAGAAAUUACUGUAUUCGCAUACAAUAAACACAUCGGUUACAACAGGCUGCAAGUGUGUUUGACUCAUUUCAGUAGCAAUAGUUAAAGGUGUUGCCUCAAAGUUGAUUAAGACCUUUAAAUGUGAAAGCAGCUUGAAUGCACUCAUCAUUUUAUAAGGAGGGAAACAGCAAAAGGAACCUACUUACCUAUUAUAAUGAAGUCCUUGUCCUCCUAGUGUCAACUGUGUAUUUUUGAGUAUUUGCUUAAUUUUUUGGAAGAUUUAAAUCUUUGUAUAAAUUAGCACAGCACUACAGGAUUCUUUGGCAUAUCAUGAAAGGCUAAACAUUGAUUUCUAUUGGAGAUAGCAGAGCAUUGAGGAAAUAAAUCAUACAAACACUAUGAAAACUCCAGAAAAAUUUUAAUCAAAAAUAUUUUCAAACCAGUUUAAUGGUUCAGCUUCAGUUGCUUACUACUAUGUUUGAAUAAAGGACUGAAUUCUUAAGAUAUUUGUAUGAUUUGUUUUGUAUAACUUUCCAAUUAUGUGUGGUUAUUGAUUGAGAGCAUUGAGAUAUAAAUAUACCAUCCAAUUGUUGUGUAUUAUCUUUUUUGUAUAGUAUAGGCAGAUGUACUAUCAAAAAGUAUAUUAAAUGUGUUGUGUCUUUGGAUUUCUAAGUUUAAGCAACAGUUCUCACACAGCUUAAUAAAAUAUAAAAUCAUGUCCAAGUUAACACUAUUUUAAUUUACUAUUAAAAUUAUUAAGUAAUGUAUUAACUCAUGUUUCUAAUUUCAUAUAUUGUUUUACUGAAUAUUAAAUAAGCAUGAUAUAAAGCAAUUUGUUAUAGCUGAUGUGUUUAUUGUAAAUGGUUACAGCAACUUAUACAGGUUCUUUCACAGUACAUAGAACUCUAUAGAGUAGGCUAAAAGUAAAGUUAGAAAAAUUAUUUCCCAACAAGCUGUAGGUACAGUACUUGUUUAGAGAUCAUACACACCAUAAAAUGUGAUGAAAUAGCAAUGAUAGAAUAGAAGAAAACAGGAAGUCAAGCAUACCUAGAACACAACCUAGCAAUGAAAUCUGCAACUGUUUCUUUUUCUUCCUAUUAAUUUACACAAGACCAAAACAUUAUCAUUUUACAAAUUCAGAUACAAUAACUCUUGUAUGUGACAGAGUAAUGAGUCAAAACUUUUCAGCUGUUCAUUUAAAAUAUAGCACUUUUUAAAUAAUGUAUUUUACAUGCACGUAAAAUACAUUUAUUUGCCAAUUAUAAUGAACUGGAAGAACUUUAGAGCUGAAAACUAUUAAUAUAUUGAUCAUGCGUUAAAGCAUAACAUCACUCUACAGUUGCUUUUUAAUCAGCAUCAAACAGUUUUGAAUAUAAAAUGCACUUCUCUGAUUUGACAAUAUGCAAAUAUAGGCCACAGGUUUCCAUUUCUAUUCAAUUUCAGUUUUGAAUAUUUGUCCCUGCAAAAGAAAGAUUUAUACAAGAUAAACAAUUUUUUCCCUUAACCUCUUCUAUUUAUAUCUAGAAAGCUAAUUUAAAACUUUUUGCAUAUAUUAAGUGAAUUGUUAAAAGAAGUCAGUUUUCCUUCAAGCUGCAAUAUUAUUAUUAUCUAAAAAUUGCUUUUUGUUGUGUUACAAGACUUUAUUUUAUCUAGUAUUGUUGUUUUAUUAUUUGCAAUAUUUUGAAACAUAUUUCAUUAAAUUAUGUUUUCAGAAUACUACUUUUAGCAUUAAGUUCAUCAUUAUGUAAUAGAUCUGUAAAUAUUUUAAAUUCUUUUUUAAAAUCAAUAGACGCUUAUUUCAAAGUAUGUUAUAUAACAGUUGAAAAACUGUAGAUUUAUUUUCUCAAAUUCCAUUUUUAGAGAAAUACAACCUGUUUGUUACAGGUAACAGUUUUUUUUUUUCUAUUCAAAAAACUAAAAGUUGUUUUAUCAGAUUAGAUUUACCAGAAAUAGUAUAUUAAUAUUGUUAUAACACAUAAAAUGCAAUAAAAUUUAAUUUUUAUCUGUAUUUUCAUCCUAAGAUAAUAUGAAAGGAAACUAGUUACAGAAACAGUGUAAAUCCAGUACAAAUACAGGUAUGUGGUAUUGUGCUGCUUAUUCAUUCAUCCUUGUAUUUUGUUAUAUUUUUGGAAACUUUUAAACCAAUGUAUGACAACUGGAAGAACUUUGAGACAAUUUUGUAAGCCAACAAAUAACAGAUGCCUUGCAGUUAAGUGCAAUACAUAAUUGUAAUAAAUAGAUUUAAUAAAAACACUAAUAUAUUAAA